rnacentral:misc_RNA from 1 species
GAAAUGCGAUAAUUAAUGUGAAUUACAGAAUUCAGUGAAUCAUCGAGUCUUUGAACGCACAUUGCGCCCCCUGGUAUUCCGGGGGGCAUGCCUGUCCGAGCGUCAUUGCUGCCCUCAAGCACGGCUUGUGUGUUGGGCUUCCGUCCCUGGCAACGGGGACGGGCCCAAAAGGCAGUGGCGGCACCAUGUCUGGUCCUCGAGCGUAUGGGGCUUUGUCACCCGCUCCCGUAGGUCCAGCUGGCAGCUAGCCUCGCAACCAAUCUUUUUAACCAGGUUGACCUCGGAUCAGGUAGGGAUACCCGCUGAACUUAAGC